rnacentral:rRNA from 1 species
CAGCCGCCGCGGUAAAACAGAGGGUGCGAGCGUUAAUCGGAUUUACUGGGCGUAAAGCGUGCGUAGGCGGCUUUUUAAGUCGGAUGUGAAAUCCCUGAGCUUAACUUAGGAAUUGCAUUCGAUACUGGGAAGCUAGAGUAUGGGAGAGGAUGGUAGAAUUCCAGGUGUAGCGGUGAAAUGCGUAGAGAUCUGGAGGAAUACCGAUGGCGAAGGCAGCCAUCUGGCCUAAUACUGACGCUGAGGUACGAAAGCAUGGGGAGCAAACAGGAUUAGAUACCCCUGUAGUCCCUGUCUCUUAUAC